rnacentral:rRNA from 1 species
UACGAAGGGGGCUAGCGUUGCGCGGAAUCACUGGGCGUAAAGGGUGCGUAGGCGGGGCUUUAAGUCAGGGGGGAAAUCCUGGAGCUCAACUCCAGAACUGCCCUUGAUACUGAGGAUCUUGAGUUCGGGAGAGGUGAGUGGAACUGCGAGUGUAGAGGUGAAAUUCGUAGAUAUUCGCAAGAACACCAGUGGCGAAGGCGGCUCACUGGCCCGAUACUGACGCUGAGGCACGAAAGCGUGGGGAGCAAACAGG